UGGCUCAGACCGAACGCUGGCGGCGUGCCUAACACAUGCAAGUCGAACGUGAUUAGAGAGCUUGCUCUCUAUGAAAGUGGCGCACGGGUGAGUAACGCGUAGAUAAUCUGCCUGAUGAUCGGGGAUAACACUUCGAAAGGGGUGCUAAUACCGGAUAAGCUCACGGAGUCCUUGGACUCUGCGAGAAAAGGGGGGGACCUUCGGGCCUUCUGUCAUCAGAUGAGUCUGCGUACCAUUAGCUAGUUGGUAGGGUAAAGGCCUACCAAGGCGACGAUGGUUAGCUGGUCUGAGAGGAUGAUCAGCCACACUGGAACUGAGACACGGUCCAGACUCCUACGGGAGGCAGCAGUGGGGAAUUUUGCGCAAGGGGGGAAACCCUGACGCAGCAACGCCGCGUGAGUGAUGAAGGCUCUUGGGUCGUAAAGCUCUGACAGAGGGAAAGAAAUGUAUUGCGGCUAAUACCUGCGAUACUUGACGGUACCCUCAAAGGAAGCACCGGCUAACUCCGUGCCAGCAGCCGCGGUAAUACGGGGGGUGCAAGCGUUGUUCGGAUUUAUUGGGCGUAAAGCGCGUGUAGGCGGUUUGGUAAGUCUGAUGUGAAAGCCCUGGGCUCAACCCGGGAAGUGCAUUGGAUACUGUCAGACUUGAAUACGGGAGAGGGCAGUGGAAUUCCUAGUGUAGGAGUGAAAUCCGUAGAUAUUAGGAGGAACACCGGUGGCGAAGGCGGCUGCCUGGACCGAUAUUGACGCUGAGACGCGAAAGCGUGGGUAGCAAACAGGAUUAGAUACCCUGGUAGUCCACGCCGUAAACGAUGAGAACUAGGUGUUGCGGGUAUUGACCCCUGCAGUGCCGUAGCUAACGCAUUAAGUUCUCCGCCUGGGAAGUACGGUCGCAAGAC
rnacentral:rRNA from 1 species